UACGUAGGGCGCAAGCGUUGUCCGGAAUUAUUGGGCGUAAAGAGCUCGUAGGCGGUUUGUCACGUCGGAUGUGAAAGCCCGGGGCUUAACUCCGGGUCUGCAUUCGAUACGGGCAGACUAGAGUGUGGUAGGGGAGAUCGGAAUUCCUGGUGUAGCGGUGAAAUGCGCAGAUAUCAGGAGGAACACCGGUGGCGAAGGCGGAUCUCUGGGCCGUAACUGACGCUGAGGAGCGAAAGCAUGGGGAGCGAACAGG
rnacentral:rRNA from 1 species